UCAUCCAGCCACUCUCACACCAUCAUAUCACCAUCCUGGGUUAGUGUCUUGGUCUCAGGUCACAACAUCAGCACAGUCUUGGCUUGGCUGAGGUAGCUGAGUGGUUCUUGUUGUCCCUGACAGCUGCAGGGACAGUGCCAUCAGCCAUGCAGCAGCACAAUGACUGCUCAAAGUCAGUGUGGCUCAGUCUGCUGUAAACAUUGUCCUAAAGUGGUGGCAAAGUGGCUGCAAGCUGGCUGCACAUGCACUGUGUCCAGUACUCCCAGUACGUGCACCUGCAGAUGAUAUCCACAAAGCUCUGAGUGUCACAGAGUGGGCCUGUGCUCAGGUCACUCUGCCCCAUUGAAUUCUACUUACAGAGUUUUACAAGUGUGAGUAAAGUUAUAUAUACAAGUUGGUGGCUGAUAAGUUCUUGUAGUGACCCCUGACCCCGUGGUUCUUAUUGGUUAAUAGUAGCUUAGAGCAUCUGCACCAAUCAUAAAGCACCAAGUUUGGAGCUCGUGGGUCUCUGCAAGUAAGUCCCUGUAAUGUUGGCCAAGCCUGAUAUACUAGAAACAUCUGUCAUUACCAGCAGAUGAAGCUGCCCUUAAAGCAGGAUCUCACUUUAAACCUGACAAAAGAAUUUGCUAUUAGCAUACUAUGGUUAUAUGUCUCUCUCUCCUGUCUCUCACCUGUCUGCCUGGGCGGAGCCCAGCUGAGCUCCGCCCUUGGCCCACGCACCUGCCGUGAAUCUACCUGAUGACCUGGACUCCUGGGCUAUUUAAGCUGAGGCUCAGAAGGCUUCUUCGCUGGGUGGUGGACUUACUCUCGUUCUCGGACUCGUCCGCGACCCCGAUCUGUUUCCCUGGUGGCGUGGAGUGGAGUGAGAGUGAGUGUGCUGAAAACAAAUACGAGAGGAGCGAGUGAGCGGAGCGAGUGUUGGACUUUGUCCCUUUUCCCCUGGACCAUUGCACAUCCUGCCCUGUACACGUGGGGUUUGUAAAUAAAUGGACAGAGUUCAUGUUCAUGGACAUCAGGAUAAAAACAGAAGAUGGAAACCUGCCAGAUUUGAGCUGCUCAUGUGUCGUCCCUGGGCAGGUCACAUGACUCUAUCCAACACACAAAGACACACAGACACACAAGAAAAGCCAGAGAAACAAAGACAAAUCCAAACAAUCCAUCAUACUGAGUUAAAGUGAUCACA